UACGUAGGGUGCGAGCGUUGUCCGGAAUUACUGGGCGUAAAGAGCUCGUAGGUGGUUUGUCGCGUUGUUCGUGAAAACCGGAGGCUUAACCUUCGGCGUGCGGGCGAUACGGGCAGACUGGAGUACUGCAGGGGAGACUGGAAUUCCUGGUGUAGCGGUGGAAUGCGCAGAUAUCAGGAGGAACACCGGUGGAGAAGGCGGGUCUCUGGGCAGUAACUGACGCUGAGGAGCGAAAGCGUGGGGAGCGAACAGG
rnacentral:rRNA from 1 species